GAUUCAGUGUUUGAGAUGUAUUAUGGGACCCAUAGAGUGUUAACACGUCUGACGGGCCAAUCAAUUUGCUUUAUUUAAAUGUAGUUGGGUGAUGUGGAGGCAUAUGUGAGCGAGUGACGUCUUUUCAUGGUCUAGCGCGUGGCAACGGGUUUUGAUAUGGGGUUUUGGACCACUCCUUGUCUCAUUAAUGCUUUAGUAAAUGCGUUAUUCGACGUCUGUGUAUGUCAAAAUUGCUCGUAUUUUUAACAUAAAAAUAUAAUCUUCUAUCUAUCUAUCUAUAACUAUUACUAAAAGAAAUACCGCUGACAUCAUCUUUUCCUCCAAACUAUACACAUGUCACUCUCUCCUCCAAUAUUUUCCCGCCCAAACUGCCUACAUCCCUCACUUCUCUUUUGCGUCAUUUCUAUUCUUCGUUUACGCUUUCCAAUAUUUUUUUAAAAUCACGCUGGCCAGUUACCAAUUUAUGGCUGUGACCAUUGCUAUUUCCUAGGAUUUUUAGAUCUACUGUUUCAAUUUCCCUUGCUUUAAAAGUUUUUUAUGGAAAAACCAUGGAAGGAAACCGAGAAGUUACUGAUUCAAUUUACUCCAAUACUUGUAAUUUUUUUGCUCAAAUUCUUAUUAGUUUUUCCUGUUUCUCGAACAAAUUGCUAUGAUUGAUUAUGUAUUUUUGAUUUUCGGGUAGCUUAAACUUCGGAUUGUUGCAGCUCUUGAACAACUCCAAUGACAGCUUUGGGUAAUUAGAACUCCAAGUUUAUUUCUCGAAUGUGGGUAAUCACGUUCUACCACUAUGGGAACUGUACUAUUUUGAAUCUAUUUGAAUUCUGAUUUAUGUUUUAUCAACUUUUUUUUCAUUUGAAAUCUUUUUUGUUUUUGAGAGUGAAUUGGAGGAUGGGAUAAAAGUUCUUUCUAUUUUGACAUGGGUGAAGAUGAAUAGCAGAAGAUUCUGGCAAAGAUAUGAGGACGACGUUCUGAAUAGGAAUAACGACGAGGGCGGCUAAGUCGGCGGUAGCAAGGUGUGUCCAUGUCGUCUGUAACGGUGUUUCCGGAAUAAAUUUGAGUUUUGAUUGGAUUUAUCAAUAUACUCAGUAGUUUGCAGUAAUUGGAGGAAUUUUGAUUGGAUUUAUCAAUAUAGUUUGAAGUGGGUUUGGACGGAAUACAUAUUUAAUAUUUUGUUUUGAAGAUGUAUGAAACUUGAGAUUAUUAUACACUUAUGUCGUUCCAUUUAAUUAUUUAAUACAUCUAUGCUUAAUGAAGA